UACGUAGGGUGCAAGCGUUAAUCGGAAUUACUGGGCGUAAAGCGUGCGCAGGCGGUUGUGCAAGACAGAUGUGAAAUCCCCGGGCUCAACCUGGGAAUUGCAUUUGUGACUGCACGGCUAGAGUGUGUCAGAGGAGGGUAGAAUUCCACGUGUAGCAGUGAAAUGCGUAGAGAUGUGGAGGAAUACCGAUGGCGAAGGCAGCCCCUGGAUACGACUGACGCUCAUGCACGAAGCGUGGGAGCAACAGG
rnacentral:rRNA from 1 species